rnacentral:rRNA from 1 species
AUUCCAGCUCCAAUAGUGUAUAUUAAAGUUGUUGCAGUUAAAAAGCUCGUAGUUGGAUUUCUGGCGGGAGCGAUCGGUCCUUCACUCAGUGUUGGAACCUGAUUGUCUCCUGCCAUCCAUGGAGAAAACUUAUCUGGCAUUAAGUUGUCGGGUAGGCAAUCUCCAUCUUUUACUGUGAAAAAAUUAGAGUGUUCAAAGCAGGCUUAUGCCGUUGAAUAUAUUAGCAUGGAAUAAUAAGAUAGGACUAUGGUACUAUUUUAUUGGUUUGCACGCCAAGUAAUGAUUAAUAGGGAUAGUUGGGGGUAUUCAUAUUUGAUUGUCAGAGGUGAAAUUCUUGGAUUUAUGAAAGAUGAACUUAUGCGAAAGCAUUUACCAAGGAUGUUUUCAUUA